rnacentral:rRNA from 1 species
GACAGAGGGUGCAAACGUUGUUCGGAAUUACUGGGCGUAAAGCGUGUGUAGGCGGCUAUGUAAGUCGGAUGUGAAAGCCCCGGGCUCAACCCGGGAAGUGCACUCGAUACUGCGUAGCUUGAGUCUCGGAGAGGUUGGUGGAAUUCUCGGUGUAGAGGUGAAAUUCGUAGAUAUCGAGAGGAACACCGGUGGCGAAGGCGGCCAACUGGACGAAGACUGACGCUGAGACACGAAAGCGUGGGGAGCGAACAGG